rnacentral:lncRNA from 1 species
AUGUUUGGGCGAGAGGCGCGGCGUUCAACAAACACGUUUGUGGGGGACAGAAUAAGGAAAGAUGAAGAGAUGGCUGACAGAACUGCUGAGCUGGACAGAAUCAAUAGAGUGAUACUGAAAGCUGAAUUUGAGUGCCUUGGCCUUAAUUACUAUGAAAAGGCCCUGAAACGCAGAGAGAGGAUCCAACUGAGAGAGUUGGAGUUGUGGAACAGCUCUCUCACUAUGGUCCGGAGAGAAGCUUUACGCAGGAUGCUGGAGCAGGAGAGACAUCUGCACGUCACAGAGCUCAACAAGAUUGGCCUGGCCAUUUAUCAACAAAGAACAUAA